UACAGAGGGUGCGAGCGUUGUUCGGAAUUAUUGGGCGUAAAGCGCGUGUAGGCGGCUUUGCAAGUCGGGUGUGAAAGCCCUCAGCUUAACUGAGGAAGUGCGCCCGAAACUGCCGAGCUUGAGUACCGGAGAGGAUGGCGGAAUUCCCCAAGUAGAGGUGAAAUUCGUAGAUAUGGGGAGGAACACCGGUGGCGAAGGCGGCCAUCUGGACGGAUACUGACGCUGAGACGCGAAAGCGUGGGUAGCAAACAGG
rnacentral:rRNA from 1 species